rnacentral:rRNA from 1 species
UACCACAUGAAUAAGGGGCUCCUAACUCUGUGCCAGCAGGAGCGGUAAUACAGAGGCCCCAAGCAUUAUCCGGAAUCACUGGGCGUAAAGGGUGUCAAGGCGGUCAUGUUAGUCGUUCGUAAAAUCCACGGGCUCAACCUGUGGCGCGCGAGCGAAACGGCAUGACUUGAGGUCGGCAGAGGUGCGUGGAACUCACGGUGUAGGGGUGAAAUCCGUUGAUAUCGUGGGGAACACCAAAGGCGAAGGCAGCGCACUGGGCCGAAUCUGACGCUCACACACGAAAGCCAGGGUAGCGAACGGGAUUAGAUACCCCGGUAGUCCUGGCCCUAAACGCUGCUCGCUCGUUCUGCGGAGUAUCGACCCUCUGCGGGACUAAGCUAACGCGGUAAGCGAGCCGCCUGGGUAGUACGAGCGCAAGCUUAAAACUCAAAGGAAUAGACGGGGACUCGCACAAGCAGUGGAUCAUGUGGCUUAAUUCGUCGAUAAGCGAAGAACCUUACCCGGGCUAGAAAUGCAGCUGCAUCCCACCCGAAAGGGAGGGAGCCUUCGAGGGUGCUGCACAGGUGAUGCAUGGUUGUCGUCAGUUCGUGGCUUGAGCUGUUCCCUUCAGUGGGGUAACGAACGCAACCCUCGUUGUCUGUUAUAUAUGUCAGGCGAGACUGCCCCCUCACGGGGGAGGAAGGUGAGGAUGACGCCAGAUCAGCAUGUCCCUCUGAUAUCUUGGGCUGCACGCAUGAUACAAUGCCGACGACAACGCGACGCGACGGGGUAACCCUGAGCAAAUCGUAAUAAACGUCGGCCCAGUUCGGAUUGAGGUCUGCAACUCGACCUCAUGAAGUUGGAAUCGCUAGUAAUCGCGGGUCAGCUAUACCGCGGUGAAUACGUUCUCAAGUCUUGUACUCACCGCCCGUCAACUCAAGGGAGUUGGG